GAUGAACGCUGGCGGCGUGCCUAAUACAUGCAAGUCGAACGCAUAGCGAAAGGUGCUUGCACCUUUCAAGUGAGUGGCGAACGGGUGAGUAACACGUGGACAACCUGCCUCAAGGCUGGGGAUAACAUUUGGAAACAGAUGCUAAUACCGAAUAAAGCUUAGUGUCGCAUGACACAAAGUUAAAAGGCGCUUCGGCGUCACCUAGAGAUGGAUCCGCGGUGCAUUAGUUAGUUGGUGGGGUAAAGGCCUACCAAGACAAUGAUGCAUAGCCGAGUUGAGAGACUGAUCGGCCACAUUGGGGCUGAGACACGGCCCAAACUCCUACGGGAGGCUGCAGUAGGGAAUCUUCCACAAUGGGCGAAAGCCUGAUGGAGCAACGCCGCGUGUGUGAUGAAGGCUUUCGGGUCGUAAAGCACUGUUGUAUGGGAAGAACAGCUAGAAUAGGAAAUGAUUUUAGUUUGACGGUACCAUACCAGAAAGGGACGGCUAAAUACGUG
rnacentral:rRNA from 1 species